UUUGUUUUUCAGGGUUCUUUGCAAGGGUACCGGACGCGUAGUUGCAAGAAGCUAACGGUUGCAGCAGUUUUGUCUAAAGCUUCACGAUGUUUCCCUUGGCCAAAAACGCACUAAGUCGUCUCAGAGUUCGAAACAUUCAGCAAACAAUGGCAAGGCAGAACCACCAGAAGUGGGCACUUGAUUUCCAUGACAAAUAUGGUAUGCUAUAUUAGCUAGUGGAGCCACUUUCUGUGUUGCUGUAUGGGCAUAUACAGCAACACAGAUUGGAAUAGAAUGGAACCUGUCCCCUGUUGGCAGAGUCACCCCAAAGGAAUGGAGAGAAGAAUAAUCAUCCCAUCUGGUUUAAUACUGAAUUGUUUCAAAACCACCUCAUAAUUGAUGCCAAGUAAAAGCACUGUGUACCCAUUAAAAUAUGGCAUGAUUGAAGAAAUAAAGUAUAUUUGAAACCUUCAUUGUAGGUUUUAUUUUCUUCUGUUAAUAAAACCAAGGUUUUACUUUUCAUUUAUGUAACUUGUGUUAAGUCAAAACACUGUACAAUUUCUUGAAUAGCUUUUCUCUAUUAAGUAGUAUGAAAGGACACUUUGGCUGUCACCUGGAAGUAGGCUUUAUACUAGGCCGAAAUUACAGUUCAUGAAUAACUGAUCAGAGUUGCUUUAGGUCAUCUUUGAGAUUAAAAUUUGGUGUCCGUAUCUUGGUUAUACCUACUUCUUUCAGCCUCUCAUUUAUGUGUAUAUUUGGGCUAGUCAUUUACUCCUUUUUAUUCCUACCAAGAGAACUUAAGGUGUCAUCAGACCCAUGGGAAGAAUGGUCCUAUCAAAUGAACUUCCAGGAAGUCUACACACCAGUAAGCUUCUUGGCUCCCUUGGGACAUUUAUCUUGAUUAUAGCUUUAGAUUUUUCAGCAUAUUUAUUUGAAAAUUUUAUGAUGUUAUUAAAGUAUCUGUCAAGUAUAGUGUACUUUCACUUAUCUAACUACUUGGACCUCUGCUGUUGGUUUCUGUAGUCAUGCCAACUUUUGGAUUUUGGAUUAACCUGAAUUCAUUGACAUUGGAUUUAUGUGUAAGGCUAACAGAAGAAAAUACAGUAUCUAUACCAUGUGUUUCAUUACUUCCUUGGCCAAAGGCUGGGAAGUAAGCCUUAUGUAGUGGUUUGUUAUAGUAGUCAAGCAAGCAGAAAAUGGAAUUUCAGUUGUGUAACCUGUCUAUAUUGACAAAGAGAUUUCUAAAAUUCACUUAACCUGAUAUUGUAAGUUAUCAGGUAAGUAGCUUUUAGGAAUCUCUACAUUUACCUGAUGUAUGAUGUAGAUAAGGAUUUAUACUUGAUCAAACAUUUAAAAAGUUUACUUAUUACAUGAAAUACUAGAAUGCUCUGAUUUGUUUUCUCAUUAAAUGUGCCAAAGACAAUUUCAUGGUUUAAGUAGGAAAAGUGGUUUGAAUGUCAUUGCAAUCUAAGUAGAUUACAAGAUUAGUAACCAUAGUAGUGCCACUAUUUGAAAAAAUUUGAACACUUGAUAUAUUUAGAAAGAAUGUUAAAAUAGAACUAAAGUAUUCAAAUGCUUGUAAUCCUGUGGAAUGAUUAAGCAAAAUUAACAUGUCUUCUUUUU
rnacentral:lncRNA from 1 species